GGGUCGUUAGCUCAGUUGGUAGAGCGCUUCGUUUACACCGAAGAUGUCGGGAGUUCGAAUCUCUCACGACCCACCA
rnacentral:tRNA from 1 species